UACGUGCUCCGGGGUCGGUGUAAUUCCGAGCCGGCGGUGACAGUCCGCGACCCGCACGCCUCACCUGAGGUGAGCGGUUGACCUGGUGGAACUCCAGGACCGACGGUGAAAGUCCGGAUGGGAGGCGCACGUG
rnacentral:ncRNA from 2 species